rnacentral:rRNA from 1 species
GAUGAACGCUGGCGGCGUGCUUAACACAUGCAAGUCGAACGAUGGAGCCCAGCUUGCUGGGUGGUUUAGUGGCGAACGGGUGAGUGACACGUGCGUAACCUGCCCUUCACUCUGAGUUAAGCAUGUUCAACUGGGUCUAAUACCUGCUAGGAGCGUCCACCGCCUGGAGGGUGUUGGAAAGAUUUAUCGGCUUUGGAUGGACUCGCGGCCUAUCAGCUUGUUGGUGAGGGAAUGGCUCACUAAGGCGUCGACGGGUAGCCGACCUGAGAGGGUGACCGGCCACACUGCGACUGAGACAGGGAGCAGACGCCUACGGGAGGCAGCAGUCGGGAACAUUGCACAGUGGGCGAAAGCCUGAUGUGGCGACGCCGCGUGAGGGAUGCCGGCCUUCGGGUUGUAAACCUCUUUCAGUAGGGAAGAAGCGAACGUGACGGUACCUGAAGAAGAAGCAACGGCUAACUACGUG